UGGCCCUGCCAAAGCUCCAGGGCGAGGAAAGAGAAAAGCUCAGGCUGUCUUCUUGAAAGGAGACUGCAGUGGAUUGGCCCAUUCAGCUUACAGAUGAUGCCCUAUAAAAAAAACAUAGACAGUCAAGAAUUAACAAAAUAGAGGACCAGCAUGAUUGGAUCUACAAGCAUGUGGGCCCAGAAGCCUUGGUCUUUGAGAUGCCUUGCAGGCGGUGGCAGUGAGGCAGUCCAUUUUGGAACUAGAAGUUUAAUGGGACCCCCGUAAAGGCAAACACAUCUUUGAUUGGCUGGUGUUGCUAAAAAGCAGAAGAAAAAGAAAACAAACCU